AUUGAACGCUGGCGGCAUGCCUAACACAUGCAAGUCGAACGGCAGCACAGCUUGGGUAACCAAGUGGUGGCGAGUGGCGCACGGGUGAGUAAUGCGUAGGGAUAUACCUUAAAGAGUGGGACAACCUGGGGAAACUCAGGCUAAUACCGCAUACGCUCUAAGGAGGAAAGCUGGGGACCUUCGGGCCUGGCGCUGUAAGAAUAACUUACGUCUGAUUAGCUAGUUGGUGAGGUAAAGGCUCACCAAGGUGACGAUCGGUAGCUGGUCUGAGAGGAUGAUCAGCCACACUGGGACUGAGACACGGCCCAGACUCCUACGGGAGGCAGCAGUGGGGAAUAUUGGACAAUGGGGGCAACCCUGAUCCAGCGAUGCCGCGUGCGUGAAGAAGGCCUGCGGGUUGUAAAGCACUUUCGAUGGGGAGGAGAGGUACGAUGUUAACAGCAUGGUACUGAGACGUUACCCAUAUAAGAAGCACCGGCUAACUCCGUGCCAGCAGCCGCCGUAA
rnacentral:rRNA from 1 species